UACGAAGGGGCUAGCGUUGUUCGGAAUCACUGGGCGUAAAGGGCGCGUAGGCGGCCGAUCAAGUCGGGGGUGAAAGCCUGUGGCUCAACCACAGAAUUGCCUCGAUACUGGUUGGCUUGAGACCGGAAGAGGUAAGUGGAACUGCGAGUGUAGAGGUGAAAUUCGUAGAUAUUCGCAAGAACACCAGUGGCGAAGGCGGCUUACUGGUCCGGUUCUGACGCUGAGGCGCGAAAAGCG
rnacentral:rRNA from 1 species